UAUUUCACGGUGAUUAAAGAUAAAAAUACAUAACUUUCAUGUUCAAAGUUGUUCAAUUCCAGAAAAUUGAAAAAAUUAUAAAUGUCAUCCAUAAAUUUCAUAAUAGUCAAAUACUCAUUCAUGUGAUUUUAAUCUCAAUUAUUGCCAUAAAGAUUGUUAUUUCAACAUAUCUUAUUGAAACUAAUUCUCGUCAGAUCUGAAAUAUUCAACCAAUUGUUUUUGCUUUAUGCAAUUUCUUCUGGAUCCACUACUGCUUAAAGGAUCUCGUGUGAGUGGGCUGGAACUGCUAAGAUCUUGAGGCUACAAUGAAGAAGACUGUCCAUUUCUUUGGCUAUCAUUUUGGGUUUCUGAAAAAUGAGUUUUUAUGCCUCAUAUCUCCAUGGCUAUUAAAUUGUCGGCACAAAAUCAUGAAUUAAAUAAAGGGAAAAAUGCGAUUCUUUCCCAUUUUAGUGAAAACUAUAGAUUUGAAUUUUCUCAAUUUUUUGGGUUAGGUUCUAGAAAGGAAACCCAGAAAUUUAUUGGACAACAAGAACCUAUUUAUAUUUAAUUCUAAUUUUGAGUUUUCUAAUUUU
rnacentral:lncRNA from 1 species